CGAACGCACGUGAGCCUAGCUGUCUCUGUGAAAAACAAGAAACUUAACCUUCAGGUGAAAAGGCCUGAAUUUUUCUAAUAGACAAGAAGACCCUAUCGAGCUUUAUUAUUCUUCAACAAAAUAAACUAUUUAUACACUUUCUUAGCUUGUUUACUAAUUUAGUUGGGGCAACUGGGGAACACCUAAAGCUUCUCCUAUCUCUUUAAAUCUACAUAGACCCAGAGUAUCUGAUCAACGGAAAAAGCUACCGUAGGGAUAACAGGUUAAUUUUUCUCGAGAGUCCACAUUGACAGAAAAGUUUGGCACCUCGAUGUUGG
rnacentral:rRNA from 1 species